rnacentral:rRNA from 1 species
GACGAACGCUGGCGGCGUGCUUAACACAUGCAAGUCGAACGGAAAGGCCCUGCGUUUGUGGGGUGCUCGAGUGGCGAACGGGUGAGUAACACGUGAGUAACCUGCCCUUGACUUUGGGAUAACUUCAGGGAACUGGGGCUAAUACCGGAUAGGAGCUCCUGCUGCAUGGUGGGGGUUGGAAAGUUUCGGCGGUUGGGGAUGGACUCGCGGCUUAUCAGCUUGUUGGUGGGGUAGUGGCUUACCAAGGCUUUGACGGGUAGCCGGCCUGAGAGGGUGACCGGCCACAUUGGGACUGAGAUACGGCCCAGACUCCUACGGGAGGCAGCAGUGGGGAAUAUUGCACAAUGGGCGGAAGCCUGAUGCAGCAACGCCGCGUGCGGGAUGACGGCCUUCGGGUUGUAAACCGCUUUCGCCUGUGACGAAGCGUGAGUGACGGUACUGAGUAAAGAAGCACCGGCUAACUACGUG